rnacentral:lncRNA from 1 species
GUUCUUACGUCUCUUCUGAAAAAAAAUCCACAUAUUCUCUGAAACUACAAGUCCAAUCGACCUGAAAAUUUGCAGUCAGCAGGGCAUACAUGUACUGAAGGUUCAUAAAAAAACUUUUUGCAGAUAUCUCUCAAGACUUUUCCUAGAAAAAAGAAAUGGCAAUGCAGUAAAAAUCGCUUGCUAGGUCCGUAAAUCUCAGUAAAAACCUACAAUAAAAUGUCCGCUCCGAGAUUGAAAUACUAAUCUGUGUUACAAACAGGUGCUGAAAAAUGGACAUUAUCAAAAAAUAAUCAUUAAAUGUGUUUUAAAGUUACACCGGAUCGAUUAAAUCCAAAACAUGCACUGCUGGUGAACUGUGAUCAAAAUGUCAAUUUCCU